GACGAACGCUGGCGGCGUGCUUAACACAUGCAAGUCGAACGGUGAAGCGCCUUCCUUUUUGGUGGGUGUGGAUGAGUGGCGAACGGGUGAGUAACACGUGAGUAACCUGCCCCCUUCUUCUGGAUAACCGCAUGAAAGUGUGGCUAAUACGGGAUAUUCUGGGUCUGUCGCAUGAUGGGUCUGGGAAAGAUAUUGUUUCGGUGGGGGAUGGGCUCGCGGCCUAUCAGCUUGUUGGUGGGGUGAUGGCCUACCAAGGCGGUGACGGGUAGCCGGCCUGAGAGGGUCGACGGCCACACUGGGACGGAGACACGGCCCAGACUCCUACGGGAGGCAGCAGUGGAGAAUAUUGCACAGUGGGCGCAAGGCUGAUGCAGCGACGCCGCGGGAGGGAUGGAGGCCUUCGGGUUGUGAACCUCUUUCGCCAGUGAAGCAGGCCUGCCUCGUUUGUGGGUGGGUUGACGGUAGCUGGAUAAGAAGCGCCGGCUAACUACGUG
rnacentral:rRNA from 1 species